UUUUCGACCUGAACUCAGACGUGGAUACCCGCUG
rnacentral:rRNA from 1 species